GCGCCUGGGGAAGGUUGGCAAACUCACUCGGCUUUAAAGUUAUCAGUGUUUACUGAUACUCUUAAACCGAGGGGCACACGUUCGAAUCGUGUCAGGCGCA
rnacentral:tRNA from 1 species